rnacentral:rRNA from 1 species
AUUGAACGCUGGCGGCAUGCCUUACACAUGCAAGUCGAACGGUAACAGGUCUUCGGACGCUGACGAGUGGCGAACGGGUGAGUAAUACAUCGGAACGUGCCCAGUCGUGGGGGAUAACUACUCGAAAGAGUAGCUAAUACCGCAUACGAUCUGAGGAUGAAAGCGGGGGACCUUCGGGCCUCGCGCGAUUGGAGCGGCCGAUGGCAGAUUAGGUAGGUGGUGGGAUAAAAGCUUACCAAGCCGACGAUCUGUAGCUGGUCUGGGAGGACGACCAGCCACACUGGGACUGAGACACGGCCCAGACUCCUACGGGAGGCAGCAGUGGGGAAUUUUGGACAAUGGGCGAAAGCCUGAUCCAGCAAUGCCGCGUGCAGGAUGAAGGCCUUCGGGUUGUAAACUGCUUUUGUACGGAACGAAAAAGCUUCUCCUAAUACGAGAGGCCCAUGACGGUACCGUAAGAAUAAGCACCGGCUAACUACGUGCCAGCAGCCGCCGUAACAC